UUACAAGUCAUUAUACAGUAUCAUACAGUCUAAACAAAUAAUACAAAUGUUAUUAAACCACAACAAACGAUAUAGUCUAUCCAAAUAUUGUGUUCAUUAAUACAAUACAAUACAACACUAUACUGUACCAUACCAUACUAUACAUUAAUGAACCACGUGAAACAACCAUCCAAACAGAGGAUUAGGGUCGAAUGGUUGACGUCCAAGGAGGUCCGUUUCCACCUAGGAGCAGAGUAUGGUGGCUGAGACUUAAAAGGAGUAUUUAUAGAGGACGAAUCAAGCUAGGGUUUCGUGAGCGGGAAUCUGAUUUUGAAAUGCAGAUAAUCAGUCCUUUAGAAUCAAAAUCUCAAAGCCUCUUGUGUUACCUAAAUCGUUGAAUAUGAGAGAGAAAAGGGAGCUUUGAACGCUGAGACACGCCAAAACAACCUGAAAGGACGAAAUUUUGCACGGACAAAGCUGUGAUAUUUAACCAUGGCUGAAAAUGGAAGCAGGGCUGAUGGAUCGGGUCGGGUCAGCGGGUCGUGAGAUGGGUUUGGGUUUAAAAGAGGGAUGGGCUGCUCAUUUUUGGGCUCUUCAUCUGGGUUUAAAAGGGGCUGAUGGGUUGAGGGAUAUUUGGGCUAGGAAUUAAACUUCUCUUUCCUUGUAUUUCUUUCAGCCUCUCUAUAUUAACAAAAGCAAACUAUAUAUAGGGCAAAAUACAUAUAUAUAUAUACAUAAUAAGCACCACAUAUUACGAAACAUAACGAGAGUUUUCAGUUUUCAAAACAUAACAAUAAAAAUCUUACGAAACGUAUACAAAUAUGGUGAAACACAUAUACAGUAAUUGACUGCUCGCGGAAAUCACGCUUUGAACGUAUUCUUCCUAAUCUUCUUUCCAAAAUUAUCUCCUAGUUCGAAAUUUUCUCCUCAUUUCACUCGAUGAAUCCAAAUAGAUUGAUUAAGCGACUCAACAUCAAUACACAAUCAACUUCUCAAUUAUAUUCGAUUGGAAUUUCAGAAAAUCAUCCAUUGUCGGGUUAAAAAAAUUGAGCAGGCUAUUUUAUCCCCUGUUUUUCUCCGGUUUUUGGUCUAGGAAUCGAGUGUGAUUGAAGAACGGCACAUUCAAAAUCGAUACACAAUCAAAUCUCAAUUACACGCCAUUGAAAUUUCAGAAAACAUUCAAUUUCGAGUUCAAAGAAACCAACAGAAUUCAUACCCAUUCGACUUCAAAAUCAUACGGAUUAAAGCUUUCACCGACUAACGAUGAUGGAUAGCAUCUUUCAUUCAAUUUUGAUACAACAUGGUGGAAGAUGGGACUUUUUUUUCUCCAAUAAAUAACAUGUAAAUAUAUGUGAAUCGUGAAUACAUUAUAUAGAAUCUGAGAAAAGGUUGUGAUUUAGUUAAGGAAAAAGUUGUGUAUAAAAAUAUUAUUUAUAUGGUAUAAAAGUUAUGAUGUGUAUCUUGUUCAUGAAAAAGUGGUGUGUAAUUUGUUCUGGAAAAGGCUAUGUAUAUAAAUCGUGUAUGAAUUAUGUAUAACAUACGUAUAUAAAGUUGUAGGAUAAAAGUUGUAUGUAUUUGAUUCACGAAAAGGUUGUUUCUUAAAAUAUGUAUGAAUUAUGUACAAAGUAUGUGUGUAUAUAUAUUCAUAGUGUGUGUGCCCCUCUCUCUUUGAUAUAUGGUAUAUCAGAUAAAUAUGUAGGUUUUAAAAUUGAUGAGCUAGUAUUCUAGGUUGAUUUGGCAACUCUUCUCUUUCUCAUAUGCUUUCUGUUUUCUGCUUUAGGGCAUUGAACAAUGAAUUUGAUAUCGCCACCUGUCACCAGACCAUUAGCUGUUUCGAAUUUUGAUUUUGAAUUCAGAUUUUCUAAAACUAUUAUUUGUUUGGACUGGAUAGUGUUGCUAGCGACUGAGUAUAUCUUUUGGAGCUUAUAUCUCAAUUUUGAAGGUGUUUGGUGAAAAUUAAAGGGUUGUUUUACACAUAUAUAGUUUGAAUACAGUUUUGGAUGCAUGUAUGAAUUCUGUAUUAAUUUUGUAUAAAGUUCAUGUUUAGAUUUCUGAAAAUUUGUAUAAAUUUGAUAAUGUUAAGAGUAGAAACUUGUUACUUGAGUACAA